ACCUUCAGUGGAUCAGCUAAUCCUGCAAAUUAUGACAGAUACAAGAUUAUAAGAAACCAAGUAAAAUCCUCUCAAUUCCUUUUCCAAACAAAAAGCCACGCCACUACUUCAUAACAAGAAGAAAAUUGACUACAAUUUUGGUUCAAACAAGAACAACAAUGAAAUUAUAAACAAAUCUUUCAUGUUUCUGAGAGGUAAUAGUCAUAUCUGCUGAAUUUAAGGACAUUUCCUUGCAAAUGAUUCUUAUCAGUAGUCAAAAUAGGCAUCUUCUAACAUCAGAUAAUCCCCCAAAAAAAAAAGUAUAACAUUUUCCAAUCUUUUAUGAUAGCUUAAAAUAAAGUUGUGGUGAAUCUUGACAAAUAUCAUAAAUAAAUUACCUAGAUUCUUUGCAUUGCUUAUA
rnacentral:misc_RNA from 1 species